GUAUUCACCUGGAAGAGAAGAUACCAAGAUCAAGAAGGUGGUUUUCCCAGAGUGAGUCUUCCACACCGCACUCUAGGUGUGCUGACCCCUGAGAUUUCCUGAGGUGUCAGGCAGGGAAAUGAACCAUGAGAAGGUGAGAAUGAAAACUUGAUUCAAAUUGAUUC
rnacentral:snRNA from 1 species